rnacentral:tRNA from 1 species
GGCUCUGUAGUGAAGUUCAUAGUGAGUUGCAAGCUCAUUGAUGUGCGUUAGAUAUGCACCGGGGCCU